AUAAAUUACAUAAUUGUUAUUUUGCAGAAUUUAAUUAAUAUUGUUAUUGUUCAGAAUUUAAUUAAUCAAUUCUAAAGUAGAAUUGUCACAUUGGUUGCUUCUUACUCUAUAACAAAUUCUGUGUCAGGUUCCAAAUGCUUCUCCUCCUGCAUUACUGAAUCAGCAGCUUGUGUCUUCACUGAAUCUGUCUUCACCGAAUCAUUAUUAUUCAACCUGAAACCAUUAAAAAUCAUUUUGGUUUUCAGACAUCACAUACCAAAACCAUUCUAGAUCCUACAAUUUAUGUACUCUUUUUAUAAAUUGUCGAUUUCAGCAAAGAGAGUGGGAUAGUAUUCUUUCCAGGAAGAGAUCAUAAUGGAGAUUAUGUUCCCUUAUAUCCUAGAACAGGUCUUGCUAAGGGCGCAGCGGUUGGUAUAUCUAUAGCAGGAAUGUUCGGGUUUGUAUUAUUUGUUAUCUGUAUAUAUGUUAGAUACACUAAGAAGAAGGAAGAAGAGAAAGAUAAACUUCCUCAAACUUCUAUGAAGCUUUCAACUCAAGAUGGUAAUGGUAUAUUUUUUCGUAUUCAGAUUCUUUCCAAGUUCUUAUCAACUACUUAU